UACGUAGGGGGCAAGCGUUGUCCGGAUUUAUUGGGCGUAAAGAGCGUGUAGGCGGUUUGGUAGGUCCGCUGUGAAAACUCGAGGCUCAACCUUUGAAAGCCGAUGGAUACUGUAGAGCUAGAGUCCGGAAGAGGCGAGUGGAAUUCCUGGUGUAGCGGUGGAAUGCGCAGAUAUCAGGAGGAACACCAAUAGCGAAGGCAGCUCGCUGGGACGUGACUGACACUAAGGCGCGAAAGCGUGGGGAGCGAACAGG
rnacentral:rRNA from 1 species